UACGGAGGGUGCAAGCGUUAUCCGGAUUUACUGGGUUUAAAGGGUGUGUAGGCGGGUCUUUAAGUCAGUGGUGAAAUCUCCGAGCUUAACUUGGAAACUGCCAUUGAUACUAUUGAUCUUGAAUUUUGUUGAGGUAGGCGGAAUAAGUCAUGUAGCGGUGAAAUGCAUAGAUAUGACUUAGAACACCAAUUGCGAAGGCAGCUUGCUAAACAAAUAUUGACGCUGAGGCACGAAAAGCGUGGGGGAGUCAAACAGGA
rnacentral:rRNA from 1 species